UUGCGGUUAAACGCUCGUAGUUGGGUUUCUGUCAGGAACAACUGGUCUGUCCUGAGUGUCGAGUACUAGUUCGGCUCCUGGCAUCUUCUUGGGGAACGGGUGCGCACUUCACUGUGUGGCCUGGAAACCUUGACGUUUACUUUGAGGAAAUGAGAGUGCUUCAAGCGGGUGUCCGCCACGAAUACGUUAGCAUGGAAUAAUAGUAUUGGACCUCGGAUCAUAGCUGUUGGUUGCUGGAAUCGGGGUGAGGGUAAACAGGGACAGUUGGGGGCAUUCGUAUUUAACUGUCAGAGGUGAAAUUCUUGGACUUGUUAAAGACGGACUACUGCGAAAGCAUUUGCCAAGGAUGUUUUCAUUGAUCAAGAACGAAAGUUAGGGGAUCGAAGACGAUCAGAUACCGUCCUAGUCUUAACCAUAAACCAUGCCGACUAGAGAUUGGAGGUCGUUGCUCUUCCGACGCCUUCGGCAUCUUGGGAGAAAUCAAAGUCUUUGGGUUCCGUGGGGAGUAUGGUCGCAAGGCUGAAACUUAAAGGAAUUGACGGAACGGCACCACCAGGAGUGGAGCCUGCGGCUUAAUUUGACUCACAC
rnacentral:rRNA from 1 species